rnacentral:rRNA from 1 species
CAAUAGCGUAUAUUUAAGUUGUUGCAGUUAAAAAGCUCGUAGUUGGAUUUCGGGUGGGACGCAGCGGUCUCGCAUUGCGUUUGUACUGCUGCAGCCCUCCUUCUUGCCGGGGGCGGCCUCUCGGACUUCACUGUCUGGGGGUCAGAAUCGGCGAUGUUACUUUGAGUAAAUUAGAGUGUUCAAAGCAAGCUUACGCUCUGAAUAUAAUAGCAUGGGAUAACACGACAGGACUCUGGCCUAUCGUGUUGGUCUAUAGGACCAGAGUAAUGAUUAAGAGGGACAGUCGGGGGCAUUCGUAUUCCGUUGUCAGAGGUGAAAUUCUCGGAUUUACGGAAGACGAACAUCUGCGAAAGCAUUUGCCAAGGAUGUUUNCAUUGA